rnacentral:rRNA from 1 species
AUUGAACGCUGGCGGCAUGCCUUACACAUGCAAGUCGAACGGCAGCACGGGAGCAAUCCUGGUGGCGAGUGGCGAACGGGUGAGUAAUACAUCGGAACGUGCCCAGUAGUGGGGGAUAACCCGGCGAAAGCCGGACUAAUACCGCAUACGACCUACGGGUGAAAGCGGGGGAUCGCAAGACCUCUCGCUAUCGGAGCGGCCGAUGUCAGAUUAGCUAGUUGGUGGGGUAAAGGCCUACCAAGGCGACGAUCUGUAGCUGGUCUGAGAGGACGACCAGCCACACUGGGACUGAGCCACGGCCCAGACUCCUACGGGAGGCAGCAGUGGGGAAUUUUGGACAAUGGGCGCAAGCCUGAUCCAGCCAUGCCGCGUGCGGGAAGAAGGCCUUCGGGUUGUAAACCGCUUUUGUCAGGGAAGAAACGCUCCGGGCUAAUACCACGGAGUAAUGACGGUACCUGAAGAAUAAGCACCGGCUAACUACGUG